GACGAACCGAGCGAACGUUGUUCGGAAUCACUGGGCUUAAAGGGCGCGUAGGCGGAUUCUCAAGUCCGGGGUGAAAUCCCACAGCUCAACUGAGGAACUGCCUCGGAUACUGGGAGUCUCGAGGGUGGCAGGGGUAUGCGGAACUAUCGGUGGAGCGGUGAAAUGCGUUGAUAUCGAUAGGAACUCCGGUGGCGAAGGCGGCAUACUGGUCCACUUCUGACGCUGAGGCGCGAAAGCCAGGGGAGCAAACGGG
rnacentral:rRNA from 1 species